CCGCUCCGGCUCCCACAGUCUUGGGCGAGCAGCGGCGGCGGCGCUGGGUGUCUGGGGCCCCCGGGCCGCCCCCUCCCCGGCGCGGGGCUCCCGCUCGCCGCAGCCCGGAGGCGGCGGGGCGGUGGCGGCAGCGAGCGCUGCCCCGGCCGGGCGGCCCGGCCCCAGGACUGCAGUGUUCAAUUUUGUCUACUGAAAGGUGUAAAGCAAACAUCUCUGAAUCAGGACUUUUCCCCAAAUGCACCGCUAAAGUGAACUUUCUGUGUUUGACCAGGCAUUGAGACCUCCGACGCCCCAUAAUUCAAGAAUCCCUUGACCUGGCUAAACCCCCUCUGCCCCCAUAGAUCAAAUAAAGCUUCCUCAUGCCAAGCUCAAAGUUGAAGGAUUAGCAGGGAGUCCAAGACAAACAUGAAGAGAUGGAGAAAUCACAUUUUCUAUUCGAGCCCCUGAAGGAUUCUUUUUCUAGUGCUGGAGAAGUGUAAGGCAGCUACUGAAAAGCAAGAGGAAAACCAAACAAAAGCCUUCAGAAGCGCAUUUCUGAUACAAAAAAGCCACCUGAAACAACAGUUUCUACAGACUACCCGCUGAGAUUCCUCCUCAACUUUCGUUAUGUCAAGGUCACGAUGUACAGAGGACAACCUGGAAAUUCUCAGGAACAAGAACAUCUAAAUCAAACUUUUGCAAGCAAAAAAUGCUUUUAAAGGUAUUCUGAAGAAGAGACAGAUGGAAUUUUCAAAACUAUUUCCAAGCAGCCUGUUGGUUACUGAAGCAAUUUCCAACCUUUUUCAAAAUCCAUUUUUGGUACAACAGUCCAGCAGCUGCUGCUGUGCUUGGUUCUUAUCUUGGAAAACCAAAAUAAUCCAUAGAAGCUACAAGAUGAACACGAGCUUCCGAGUAAGAUUACACAAGGACAAUGGUUAUAAGCUCAGUCUAUCAGACUGCCGCCGAAAAGCAGUUCGUGUUAAGCAGCUCCCUUGUUUUCCUUCGAGGACUCAAGGCAACUGACAGUUGCAACUGGAGAACCCCUGAGAGGGAAAAAAGACAUGAAACACCCAGGUGUUAUGCACCAAAUAAGUGUCUCAGUCCUCCUAUCGCUUGUGCUCUAUUCGGCUAGGCAUUACCUUGUCUUUCAAACAUUUCUAGAAUCAGUACUUCAACUCCAAGAAUCAGCUGGAAAAAUCAUCAUACCUCCUUCUGGCUCAUAAGAUCACCACCAUCUUUUACUCACACAUCUUUACUGCAUUAAAAAUUACACCUCUGAAGAAAAACUCAAGACGUUUUGAUCCUCCACUGCUCAGACUCUUACUGCUGUCAGGGUUAAAUACUCUUCCCCUACCCCAACCAGAGCAAAACUUUGCUAAGUCACUGAUGUCCCUCUUCUAGAUCUUGUUAUAACAGAAAACCGCUUUGCAGUCCACUGAACUUCUCACCUCCCACGUAAAUACUUUCUCUAUACCUAACCAAAAAGCAGCUCAUCUCAUUAGUUGCUUUCUAACCAGUACCACCCCCUUUCACAGGGAAAAACUGCCUCAGUGCUCUCUGGCGCUGCUCAAAUAUGUGAGCACUUCUGCAAACCUGGGCUCUGCCAAAAUACUGUAACCAUUAGCAGCAGCACAAGGUUCCUGUAAAGAGCUGCCAGCUACAGUCCAAGCAGCAGCUAAUUCAAAGACUAAAGGAGUGCUCAGCCUGGGAGCAAGUUAUGCCACAAAUCUCAACCUACCGGAGCCUUGAGAACAACUCCGGAAAAGAUGACAUUGUCUCCGUUCGCUCCUAGAGCUCCAAAGGAGAAGGACAUGGGCCUCUUUCUGCCACUGCAGUGCUACUGGUCGUGACAGCAAAAGCAGUCAGCCACAAGCCUUUCCUCAGCUUGGAACAGAAUACCCUCCUCAAACAGAGGAGGACGGGCAGAAAGGGCGAGACAAGAGGCGGCUCCAAAGGCCGGUACAAUUCUGUUCCGGAAAUCUUCCAGGUUUAAAAGCCUCUCCAGAGUGAGAUGUUUGCCACACUGAUGACACGUGCACGCAAAGAACCAACUAGCCAAGCAAAGCAACCAACCAACCCCACAAAACAAAGGAAAAUGAAAAAAGCACAUCCCCUCACCUGGAUUCCAGCAGUCAGGUUAGACGCACAGCUCAGAUCGCUGCCACGCUGUCCUGGAGGCAAACAGGGACCACGUAAGCACUCUCCGAAAGGCACUCGUCAGUCACUGCCACAAAGGCAUCACAGACUGACACGAGCUACCGAGCCAAAAACACCAACCAUCCUAAACCGAGAGAGGACAGAGCAGCUUUCAGAGCCUUCUCUUCAGUUAAACCUGAGUCCAUAAAACUUAAGUCGGCCUUAAAAUACCUUGGACUUCCAGCACAGUUAUGUUUAAUGCACAGAUCCCUCCACAGAAAAAAUUUAAAGUCUAUUUAAAGUCUAAAGAGAUUUUAGGGGGUGAGGUGAAUGAAGCCUGUAUAAACACCAACCUCAUCUUGAGCUCACCAUUUCCAAGCCCAAAGGAAAGGGUCAAGGACUCAGUACCCUGCCUGCCUCCCCACCACCACCUCCAGGACAGCUACGGUACUGAUGCCAGCAGAAGGUCAGGAUGGCUUUCCGUUUACAGUGAAAAGCAAGACAUGCAGCUAACGAGUGCAGAACAAGUAAAGGCACUCUCGCAACAGGCAAGGGCAUCUCUCCCUCUUGCAGCAGGUCAUUUUUUUUUAAGUUCGUGGUAAAAGUCCAAGCGCCUGGUCUGCACCGGAUCUCUGAGACUACUCACAAACACCAGCUGUCCUGAGGUUAAAAACUAAGUCUCUUCUUUGCUGUAAAGAGAAGGUCCAACUUAUCACCGCAGGUUGUGAUUAGUCAGUGACAAUUUCUAGUCACCCACAAAGAGAAAAAGAGCAAGGGUUACCUCAGCCAGGAAUGCCGACCUGUUUAACUCCACAGCUGUCAACAGAUAGGACCUGAACGGGUUUAUAUCUGAAACACUACACAUGAAGUCCUCCGAGGUGUUCCGAGCUAUACCAUGGAGGUUUCAUUGAAAACUUGAUAAAAGACGGGGAAAAAAAACUGGAGUGAUGGAAGGAGAGGGCUGAGACAAACAGUUUGUUGACUGUUUUGUAACAUCACUGAUGCUGGUUUGAGCAGCAUCCCCUCCCCACCCACCGGUGCAAUCUACUAUCCUUGUUUACAUGUACCAGCCAUUAAUGAAGGCAAGAGCACGGGAACAAACUGCUGCUGCUUUGUAACCCCUCGCAGAAAUAGUUUGGGUGCCUUUUCCACCAGCUUUCUGCACACCAUGUCUGAAAAGCGUGCAAGAGAAGGAAUUGGGAACAGACUAUCCUGUCUCCAAAAGAGUUGAGAGAGUUAAAAUCCUGCCUGUUCCUCUCUUGUUCAAAAACUUCCGUGCAAAAUUACUUGAACACGUAAUCUAAAAGGCGGAAACCACAACAGGCUGCAGAGGCAGCAUAAGGAAGGUUCAGCUGGACACCUACAGCCUAUAGUCUGUUCUCUGGUCUAGAGCAUUUUAAAUGAUUCUUCAGUCAUAUUACAAAAAUCUAUUCUCUCUAUUGCAACUAAAACAGCACCGAAAAACCUAUUCUGGUUUUGCAUAAGGAAAAUCUAUUCUGCCCUAAAAAAGAAGCACUGUUUUGACUGCUGAAAUACCACCUGAAUGCUCAAAGCCCUUUUGAAGCCAAUGAAAACAGACAGGCUUCCCAACUCGUUACGCAGCCAUCAUCUGCUUUUCAUGACAACCUUGUUGGACCAGAAGCAAUACCAUACACGGCACAUUUUUUUUUUCAAAACAUGCUUUUGGCUGAAGAGCAAUCCUAGAGCGGUUCCUCUCUGUCAAUAAAAAAUGGAGAAGAAACCACUGCAAAAACAACAGCUGCAUAACACAGCUGCUCUACUAAAAGUUGCAGUCUUUGUAAAAGGCUGGACGUGAGCUGCGCGAUAUACGCGCCUGUGGAAUACAGCAUCAGUAAAACAGAUUAAAGUGCAUGAUUUUUUUAUUUCGAGGGCUCUUUGUUUACAUGGAGGCAGCUGAAUUGAGAGUCUCAGGUCAUCUCACACCAAGUUUUUUGGCACGUGCAGGACAUGAGCUACCACCUGGUCCAGCUUUCUUUCCUCCUUUCCCUCCUCCCACAAUCAGCUCAGGAAUGGGAAGACAGCAUCGUCCUGGCAAGGAAAUGUGAAUCCUUCCAUUCCUCACACAGACAUAAGUUGGUACAGGGUUCUGAACAAAUGGAUUACGGAGUCCAAAAUAUUUCUGUAGACAUAAGGCUUACAAGGCAAACUUGCACCUCUGAAAAACGGUGCAAUCCCUUUUACUGCUGGGGCACUUCUGCCAACGAAAUGCCCUUUUGCACAUGCAUUAGGAAACUACUAUUUUGGGGGUUUUCUUGUGCUUUUUGUUGUUUUUCUUUUUAAGCCAAACCAUAUCCCAAAAAGACAGGCCAAAGAAAAACCUUCAGUAGUCAUUUCCUGAUUGCACAUUAACAGCUUUUAACUUUACCACCACCCAAAGUUGCACCUGUUAAGUGUACGUGCCUUCAGCUGCGACAAGAAGGCGAGUGCAUUCACAUUGAAGACACAAUUCAUUUGUGAAAUUUCAGCCAUGCAAUUUGAUCUGUUAAUUUAAGAACUGAAGCAGUUGGCAGAAGUAAUGAGACAACCCAAGGUGUUCACAGAGGGGUUACCUGUGAGACGGUGCUUUAACGUAGGGUGGAAUCGCAGAGGGAGAAACAGUCCCAUGGAGGCAGGUUUUUCCUGGUCCCUGAAGCCCAAGAGAAAGCCUGCAGGAAACACCACCAACCUGGGCUGCUCGUCACGGCAAACCGCUGACAUUCCUGCGGGGAAACUCGUCUGCUGAAAAUACACUUUUGGUUCACAUCCAGCUAUUAAAUCAUUGCUGUGCCAGCAUUACCCCGACGAUACAGAAGGAUUUGCAGUUCUAACCAGCUGCGGACUCCAGCAGCACAGAUCGAGCAGGUACCGUACUCACUGCCACUACGUGAGUGAGCUCAGCUCCCGCAGCAUCCCGAGAUUGCUGCUUUCCAGGCUCGGAGCGGAGCCCGGCAGACGCGGGCCGGGACCUGCCGGUGCGCGGGGACCUCUGUGCUCACCGCUGGGCCCCGCAGAGCCGGCAGAAGCUUCGUCCUCUGCUCGCAGCCGCCCGGAGGCCUCUCCGCGCCGUUUCCUCCGUGCCGGACAGAGGCGGGAAGGAGCUGCCGUGCUCCGGCCAAAACCCCGCCGACGGCUCCCGGUCCCGGCCUGCACCACCACCGCCAGCUGCAGCCCCGGCCGGGCCGGGCAGGGCACAGGCAGCGGCGGGCAGGGCAGCACUGCCAGGCCGGGCACGCAGCACCUUGCGCCCUGGCAGCAGCCCCUCACCAGCAGCGCGUCCUGCUCGGCCUCCGCCGUCCGUCCAGAGCCGCUGCUCCGAGCGGGGAGCGCUCAGGUCGGCACCUGCCCUUCCGCCCCCGCCACGCUUUUUAAGGCCGGGCAGCCUGAUUCACUUCUCCACGCGCAGAGGCUCACCGGGCUUUUCACCUAGAAUAAAAUAAAAUAAAAGCAUGCGUUUAUGCUGCUUGGCCUCCCUCCUCGUGUUUCCAUCACAGGCUAGUUGUCAGGAGCAAAACCUGGUACUGGAGGACACAGCUCACACACCUGGGGGAGAAACAUAGCCAGGUUUUGGCUUUUCCUCUCCCAGCAUCCACAUCACACCCACAGAAAAACAGUAUUUGCUGCCUGUGUAGAAAACCUGGUGGAAAAUUGCAGUUUACAGAGCAUGCCUUGCUCCUGAUUUGGUCCUCUGACAGUCACUAACGUUUUCCUUUCACGUAAAACAAUGAACUUCCAUUGAGGAUGAAUUAGCAGCUGCCUGUUACCUUCUCCAGGGUUAAGUGUUCCUGUAUUAUACAAAGGCUGCAGCUGCAGUCCCUGUUUUCAAGGGCACUAAAAAAACCAGACCACCACCAUCUGCUUUUUCACCAUUUAAAAAAUAAGGGCCAAGUCAGGACUAGCUUCUCUUUGACAGCCUGUACCUCAGGCAUGUGAUCACCUCCAGAAAUUAGGUGCUUCUUCAGCCUAUCUGUAAAUCCACCUUCCUUCCGUCUGCACAGCCUAUGGGAAAGAGAGCACACCUCACGGCUCAGAAAGAUGCAGACUUCAGAGUACUCGUUUGGAAGCUGCACUGGGUUCAGGGCUGGGGGUAAUACUCCUGUUAAUUCAUUGAAGAAAAGGUUGAGGCCAAACCAGAGGACUUGGAGCAUUUAAAAAGCAAGAACAGCAGUGUUCUGCCACUGGGAGAGGACACAGCUACCUAGAGGCCUUGAUCUGCGAGAGCUCCUAACGGAAAAGAUUUUUGCAAUAAGGAUAGAUCACUGCAAAGCAGCACCUAGUGACGAAUGCUGCAAUGUCUCUGGGAUGUGAUUUCCAUGCCUGCUGCUUAGGUCCUUCAUCUAACUAGACAUAUUAUCUGCUCUUCUCACUGUAUACAUCAGUUUCCUUCCACAAAUACGUCAACAUGGCACCAUCAAGUGGACCCAGUACGCCCAUGUUUGCUUAGGCUGCAUAACCACAUUCAUUCUGCACUGAGUUCCUCUAGUCUAUCUAAAAAUAAAACUGUAUUUAUCGAUGAAGUACUCCAGCGUCUUACGAAAAGCCCUCUCCUUUUGUGUCACAGUUCACUCAGACUGUUUCAAGGGUUUAAUUCUCUCCCCUUCUCUGGUGCCUGGCAGACCCUGCUUUGCCUCACGCGGCAACGCUUCUUCGUUACCUGCAAUGCUGGCAGUGUUUUACCGUGACAUUUCAAAGGCUGCAGUUACAGCCUUUCCAGGGGAACUGAACCACAGGCUCUCAGUGAAGGGAGCCGUGGCUCAUAUGUCACGAAAUCCCGCAACCAAGAGAGAUGAACAGCUGUCUGAGGAAGGGGGGGAGGCAGGAGGGGCGUUUAGUUUAGGGCCAUCGUACCUGCGGCAGGGACUCUUCUCUGCGCCUCUCCACAGCGGACGAACCGGCAUCCACUUGUCGUCUGACCCGUCGUUCCUGGACUGCCUGGAUUAGUGUCUGCUGCUCGUUUUGGCUGCAGUCUGUUGGGAGAAAAAGUUAUUCAGGGUGGGAAAACUAGAAGCAACGAAAGCCACGACUCUGUCCUUGACAAGCUGCUCCGCUACUACUCUUUCUUUCUUUCGUCCUCUGGCUGUGGAAGGCAGCCCCUUCCCUUUGGAGCGCAGCUCCGGCUCGUGGCUGACACCCAUCCUCACCUCAGUCUCCGGGAUUUGGGGCUGCUGCUGGAAAAGAUUUUAUCCUUUGGCGGAUGCUGCGAGUACGCGCUUGCAACGUACCUUGUAUUUCCUUGCAGGAGCAUAAAACUGAAGAGGAAGACCACCCAUCACAUCAUCUCAGCAGCUCCACUUUCUCUGCCACAACAUAAAGAGCAACACUCGUAUUUUUUUUCCCACUUCAAAUGACAGCACAGCUUUAAGCCGUGUUCCUCCAUGUUUGCCAAAGCGUUUCCAAGUCUUAGGCGUCUGGUUUUUCAAAGAGCAGGUGAAAAGCUUAGCUCCCAGUGAAAUGCAUGAAGUCUGAAAAAGAGGUCAUCUCAGAAACCUUUUAUCUAACACAUCUUUAAAGAAGCUAUUUCUCUCCAUGUCUGGCAGCACCCGUUGCCAGUCGAGACAAGAAAAGAGCACUUGUGGGAAGGGGAUGCGCUGGUUCUGCUCAGCGGAGCAUCCGGAGAGGAGGACAGAGUCUCUCAGGAAGAGCCUGAAGCCUUGCCGUAAGGACACGGGACACAUCAAAUGGUGCACAACAUACAGACAGAGCCAUGAAUCCACCUGAUCUUCACUUUCUGACUUCUGAUCUAAGGAAAAUGCUAAACAAGGCAGGAUUUGCUAGGACCUUCCUGAGAGCAUCACAGACCCGAGGCGGACACCUUGGCUGGGCUGGGCCGGAGCCGACGAGCAGGGGGCGAAAACUCCCCAUUUCACGACAAACCUCUGCAGCCGCCCCAUCCAUCCUGUCAGCACAACGUUGGACUCUGCUUCGGGGAGCCCCUUCUCCAUCCUUCUUCAAAGGAAGGUGCGUUUCCUCCUUACCGGGGUUCUGCGAGAAAGAAGAGCUACACUGUAAAAAACCACUGCUAUCACUGCUAGAUGAAAACAACCGUGUUGUUUUAAAGGAAAUAAAGCACAGAACUCAACUGCCAAGUGAACUCCUUGGUGGUCAGCUGGAUCGGGCAAAGCUCCUUAUCCUUCAGGUAGUCCAAAAAAUUACAUACUCUGAUGCUUGACAAGGAGGUGGCAUGCUGAGCACAAAUGCCCUGGAUGCUGAGACAGGUAAAGCAGUGUUUCCAUUUCCAGCAACUUUUUGGGGGAACUCUUUUACACCUGAAAUAAAGAAACACAGACAAGUUCAUUAAAUACAACCCCUGGUACAUCUGA